GACGAACGCUGGCGGCGUGCCUAAUACAUGCAAGUCGAGCGAGCGGAACCAACAGAUUUACUUCGGUAAUGACGUUGGGAAAGCGAGCGGCGGAUGGGUGAGUAACACGUGGGGAACCUGCCCCUAAGUCUGGGAUACCAUUUGGAAACAGGUGCUAAUACCGGAUAACAACACUAGACGCAUGUCUAGAGUUUGAAAGAUGGUUCUGCUAUCACUCUUGGAUGGACCUGCGGUGCAUUAGCUAGUUGGUAAGGUAACGGCUUACCAAGGCAAUGAUGCAUAGCCGAGUUGAGAGACUGAUCGGCCACAUUGGGACUGAGACACGGCCCAA
rnacentral:rRNA from 1 species